rnacentral:piRNA from 1 species
UCAAGGGAUGUGUUGAUUAACC